rnacentral:rRNA from 1 species
GUGCCAGCCGCCGCGGUAAUACCGGCAGCCCGAGUGAUGGCCGAUAUUAUUGGGCCUAAAGCGUCCGUAGCCGGCCAGACAUGUCCGUUGGGAAAUCGGCGUGCCUAACACGUCGGCGUCCAGCGGAAACUGUUUGGCUUGGGGCCAGAAGAUCCGAGGGGUACGUCCGGGGUAGGAGUGAAAUCCCGUAAUCCUGGACGGACCACCGGUGGCGAAAGCGCCUCGGAAAGAUGGACCCGACGGUGAGGGACGAAAGCUGGGGUCUCGAACCGGAUUAGAUACCCCGGUAGUCC